AUGUUGUGGCCCGAUCUUGGGGUGGGGAGCAGUGGUACUUGGGCGGUUCUGGACUCGGGCCGCAGUCUGCCGGGGGGCGCAGUGCCCGCCGCCCGAGCCACAGAGCAUCACCCCGCCCCGCCCCCCGCGCCCAGUCUCUGGGCACCGGGGUGCCGCCCCCUCGCGUGGCGGCGCUUGGUCGCCUCAGGCAGAGGCAGAGCGCAUGGCACGCUCCUGGCCUGGCGAGAAGGGUCCCCAGGGCAGGUACCCCUGCCUGCAGACCCGCCCCGCUGCGGGAUCCUGCUGACAGUGACCGCCAGCCCGGGGCGACCCUGGCGCAGGGGAGUUCCCCGAGAUAGGUGCGCCCGGCCUCUCCCUGGGGCCGCCGUGCGCGGGCUGCUGGGUACCCCGCGCUGGGAGCGCUCCUCUCCUCGCGAGUCCCGCUCAUCGACUUCGUCUGGAAGGAGCGCCCCCGAGCGCCUAGGAUGUGUAGAAACCGCGCAGCCCGCCCCAGAGAGGUCGCAAACAGGGGGUCCCCCACCAAGGUCACCCGGAGCGCUCUGGCUGAGCUACCCAGACCGCCUGGGGCUGGGAGCAGGGAGCCAGGAGCCGGAGGCGCUGGCUGCCCGCCUCCUUUCCUGGUGUGGACUCCUUUCCUCCGCUUUCUCCUCCGCGGGCGGCCUGCGGCUACGCUGGAACCGCCGACCAUGCAGCGCCCAGUUCCCAGGCCGAUCACUGGGCUGGGCGAGCUUUGAAUGUGGUCCUCCCGGCAGCCCAGCGGAGCGCCGCCGCCGCGGGCCAGGCCUGGGACCUGGCGCUCCGGGCCGCCCGGGAGCGGAGGGAGAGAGAUGCUGCUGCACCGGCGCUUCUCAGAACCGAAAACCGAGCUGCUUGCGCGCCCAUGUGAUUGCACUGCACAUAAUGGGCCCCUGUUCUAGCUGUCAGAAGCGCCCACCAGCUCUGGGCGGCCCUGAGCUCCAGGUGCCGCCUCUGAAUCGCCCUCUGUGCAGGAUCCGGGGCCCUGCGGUACCAGGCGCCCUUCCUGCAGGGCUCUGUCUGGAGGGGGUUGCCGCUGGCCGCCUCGGCCCGCGGCGUGCUUCCCCGGGUGCCCUGCCAUUUCCUGCGGCUGGGGAAGCCCCAGAGAAAACCCUGGGUCUGGAAGCCUCGUCCCAGGCUGGCGCUCAAGCAGCUGCUUAG
rnacentral:lncRNA from 1 species